rfam:Medicago truncatula strain A17 chromosome 8, whole genome shotgun sequence.
CCCUGCAAAUAUAGAAUAUUUGGUUUUGGUCCUUGGUAUUUUGUUUUAAUCCUUGUAAAAUCAUUUCAUAUUGAAAUUAGUCCCUAUAAUAUUCAUUUUAGUCCUCAUUUUGAAGGACUAAAAUCAAAUAUUCUAUAUAUUACAAGGACCAAAUCCAAUAUGAAUCAAUUUUACAAGGACUAAAAUAAAAUAUCAAGAACCAAAAUCAAAUUUUUCAUAUUUGCAGGGA